GAUGAACGCUAGCGGCAGGCCUAACACAUGCAAGUCGAGGGGUAGAAGGAGCUUGCUCCUUUGAGACCGGCGCACGGGUGCGUAACGCGUAUGCAAUCUACCUUGUACAGGGGAAUAGCCCAGAGAAAUUUGGAUUAAUGCCCCAUAGUAUAUAACCUUCGCAUGUUGGUUAUAUUAAAGUUCCAACGGUACAAGAUGAGCAUGCGUCCCAUUAGUUAGUUGGUAAGGUAACGGCUUACCAAGACGAUGAUGGGUAGGGGUCCUGAGAGGGAGAUCCCCCACACUGGUACUGCGACACGGACCAGACUCCUACGGGAGGCAGCAGUGAGGAAUAUUGGUCAAGGGUCGCAAGACUGACACAGCCAUGCCGCGUGCAGGAAGACGGUGCUAUGGAUUGUAAACUGCUUUUAUAGAGGAAGAAACCCUCCCACGUGUGGGGGCUUGACGGUACUGUAGGAAUAAGGAUCGGCUAACUCCGUG
rnacentral:rRNA from 1 species